rnacentral:rRNA from 1 species
UACGUAGGGGGCAAGCGUUGUCCGGAGUUACUGGGCUUAAAGGGCGCGUAGGCGGUUUUAUAAGUCAGUGGUGAAAUACAACAGCUUAACUGUUGAGGUGCCAUUGAUACUGUAAGACUUGAGUACAGACGAGGUAGGCGGAAUUGACGGUGUAGCGGUGAAAUGCUUAGAUAUCGUCAAGAACACCGAUAGCGAAGGCAGCUUACUAGACUGUAACUGACGCUGAGGCACGAAAGUGUGGGGAUCAAACAGG